rnacentral:rRNA from 1 species
CAGCAGCCGCGGUAAUACGUAGGGUGCGAGCGUUAAUCGGAAUUACUGGGCGUAAAGCGUGCGCAGGCGGUUGUGUAAGACAGGUGUGAAAUCCCCGGGCUUAACCAGGGAACUGCGCUUGUGACUGCACAGCUAGAGUAUGGCAGAGGGGGGUGGAAUUCCACGUGUAGCAGUGAAAUGCGUAGAGAUGUGGAGGAACACCGAUGGCGAAGGCAGCCCCCUGGGCCAAUACUGACGCUCAUGCACGAAAGCGUGAGGAGCAAACAGGAUUAGAUACCCCCGUAGUCCCUGUCUCUUAUAC